GAUGAAGAACGCAGCGAAAUGCGAUAAGUAAUGUGAAUUGCAGAAUUCAGUGAAUCAUCGAAUCUUUGAACGCACCUUGCGCCCCUUGGUUAUUCCAAAGGGCAUGCCUGUUUUAGUAUCAUGAACACCUCAACUCUUGUGGUUUCCCACAAUGAGCUUGGACUGUGGAGGUUUUGUUGGCCCUGUGGUCAGCUCCUCUCAAAUGGAUCAGCUUACCGGUGUUUGGUGGCAUUACGGGUGUGAUAACUAUCUACGCUCGUGGUCGUCUCCAAAUAACCUCCAGUGAUGGAGGUUCGCUGGAGCUUAUAAAUGUCUCUCCCCAGUGAAGACAGCCUUUGAACGUUCGAUCUCAAAUCAGGUAGGACUACCCGCUGAACUUAAGCAUAUCAAUAAGCGGAGGA
rnacentral:misc_RNA from 1 species